rnacentral:rRNA from 1 species
UACAGAGGUCUCGAGCGUUUAGGCGGAAUCACUGGGCUUAAAGCGUGUGUAGGCGGAUCGUUAAGUGCCUUGUGAAAUCCCACGGCUUAACCGUGGAACUGCUUGGCAUACUGGCGGUCUUGAGCCACUUAGGGGCGACCGGAACAAACGGUGGAGCGGUGAAAUGCGCAGAUAUCAGGAAGAACACCCGUGGCGGAAGGCGGCUCUCUGGGACGUGACUGGACGCUGAGACGCGAAAGCGUGGGGAGCGAACAGG